rnacentral:tRNA from 1 species
GAGGGUAUAGCUCAAAUGGUUGAGCACAUGCUUAACAUGCACGAGGCCCUGGGUUCAAUCCCCAGUACCUCCA